GGUAGCCUGGGAUAAUGGUUUGAGUGUUAGAGUACAACUCUGGAGACUAGGGUUCAAUUCCCAGCUCUAUCG